UAGGGUUUGAUCAUGGCUCAGGAUGAACGCUAGCGGCAGGCUUAACACAUGCAAGUCGAGGGGUAACAUUGUAGCUUGCUACAGAUGACGACCGGCGCACGGGUGCGUAACGCGUAUACAAUCUACCUUAUACUGGGGUAUAGCCUUUAGAAAUGAAGAUUAACCCCCCAUAGUCUCUUUAGGUGGCAUCACUUUUAGAGUAAAGGUUACGGUAUAAGAUGAGUAUGCGUUCUAUUAGUUUGUUGGUAAGGUAACGGCUUACCAAGACUACGAUAGAUAGGGGCCCUGAGAGGGGGAUCCCCCACACUGGUACUGAGACACGGACCAGACUCCUACGGGAGGCAGCAGUGAGGAAUAUUGGACAAUGGAGGCAACUCUGAUCCAGCCAUGCCGCGUGUAGGAUGACUGCCCUAUGGGUUGUAAACUACUUUUAUACAGGAAGAAACACCUCUACGUGUAGAGGCUUGACGGUACUGUAAGAAUAAGGAUCGGCUAACUCCGUGCCAGCCGCCGCGGUAAUACA
rnacentral:rRNA from 1 species